GACGAACGCUGGCGGCGUGCUUAACACAUGCAAGUCGAACGGAAAGGCCCUGCUUUUGUGGGGUGCUCGAGUGGCGAACGGGUGAGUAACACGUGAGUAACCUGCCCUUGACUUUGGGAUAACUUCAGGAAACUGGGGCUAAUACCGGAUAGGAGCUCCUGCUGCAUGGUGGGGGUUGGAAAGUUUCGGCGGUUGGGGAUGGACUCGCGGCUUAUCAGCUUGUUGGUGGGGUAGUGGCUUACCAAGGCUUUGACGGGUAGCCGGCCUGAGAGGGUGACCGGCCACUUUGGGACUGAGACACGGCCCAGCCCCCUACGGGAGGCAGAGGGGGGGAAUAUUGCACAGGGGGGGGAAGCUUGAGGCAGCCCCGCCGCGGGCGGGAUGACGGCUUUCGGUUUGUAAACCGCUUCCGCCUGUGACGAAGGGGGAGUGAGGGUAGGGGAUAAAGAAGCACCGGCUAACUACGUC
rnacentral:rRNA from 1 species